rnacentral:misc_RNA from 1 species
GAUGAAGAACGCAGCGAAAUGCGAUAAGUAAUGUGAAUUGCAGAAUUCAGUGAAUCAUCGAAUCUUUGAACGCACAUUGCGCCCUCUGGUAUUCCGGGGGGCAUGCCUGUUCGAGCGUCAUUACAACCCUCAAGCGCUGCUUGGUGUUGGGCGGUACCGCGCGCGGUACGCCUCAAACGCAGUGGCGGCGCCGUUCGGCUCCUAGCGUAGUAACUACUCUCGCUAUGGGGACCGGGCGCGUGCCCGCCAGCAACCCACACUUCCAAAGGUUGACCUCGGAUCAGGUAGGGAUACCCGCUGAACUUAAGCAUAUCAAUAAGCGGAGGA